AGAGUUUGAUCAUGGCUCAGAAUCAACGCUGGCGGCGUGCCUAACACAUGCAAGUCGAACGCGAAAGUCCCGCAAGGGGCAAGUAGAGUGGCAAACGGGUGAGUAACACGUGGGUGACCUGCCUUCGAGCGGGGGAUAACGUCCCGAAAGGGACGCUAAUACCGCAUGACAUCCUGCCUUUGAACAGGCGGUGAUCAAAGCUGGGGAUCGCAAGACCUAGCACUCGAAGAGGGGCCCGCGCCUGAUUAGCUAGUUGGUGAGGUAAUGGCUCACCAAGGCAACGAUCAGUAGCCGGCCUGAGAGGGCGGACGGCCACACUGGGACUGAGACACGGCCCAGACUCCUACGGGAGGCAGCAGUGGGGAAUUGUUCGCAAUGGGCGCAAGCCUGACGACGCAACGCCGCGUGGAGGAUGAAGACCUUCGGGUCGUAAACUCCUUUCGAUCGAGACGAAUUUCUCCGGGAUGAAUACUCCCGGCGAGUGACGGUACCGAGAGAAGAAGCCCCGGCUAACUCCGUGCCAGCAGCCGCGGUAAUACGGGGGGGGCAAGCGUUGUUCGGAAUUACUGGGCGUAAAGGGCUCGUAGGCGGCCAACUAAGUCGGACGUGAAAUCCCUCGGCUUAACCGGGGAACUGCGUCCGAUACUGGAUGGCUAGAGGUUGGGAGAGGGAUGCGGAAUUCCAGGUGUAGCGGUGAAAUGCGUAGAUAUCUGGAGGAACACCGGUGGCGAAGGCGGCAUCCUGGACCAAUUCUGACGCUGAGUGAGCGAAAGCCAGGGGAGCAAACGGGAUUAGAUACCCUAGUAGUCC
rnacentral:rRNA from 1 species